GCGAGAUCCGCCUUCUCCAGCAACAUCCGGCACCGGAUUCAGGGUUCCACCGCCGGCACCUACCACGGGGGGCACAUAGAAGGCCGGCGGCGGCGCGGCGGUACCAUGAGGCCGACGUGGAGCGGGGGCCGGAUCCACUAGCCGUCGGGGGGUGGCUGAUCCGGCGAGGUUCCUCGAUCCCGCCAACCAGAAGCCCGUCCACCGGCAUCCUGGCUGCCCCGGCAGCCGUGGUCGCCGUUGGUGUCUCCGUUCAGCACGGGCACCAUGACGGGUCAUCACGCAAGGUUGUCGCUGGAUCCGGCGACACCAAGCCUGACUACCAGCGGAUCUGGUGAGUAAUGAAUCCCGUCUCCCCUAACCUCUCUCCAUAUGUAUUUCACGAUUUCUGAUUUAUUUAGCAUGAUUUGAACACUCUAUGUUUCUUUACCACCAGAUCGUCGGCCUCCUCUGCUACUUCAAUUUCAGGAUUUUUGAAUGUUUGUGACAGAGAGCAUGUGUUGUAGUUUUUUGAAAGAGACCAAAAUCUAUGAAAUUACUUCCCUGUAAUAUAUUUGAAUGCGGUGUUGCUAGUUGUGAAACAAAGUAAUGUGAAAUGGUUUGUGGCACAAUGUGAAAUUUAUAUUUCAAUUUGGUGAAACUGGAUUACUUCAGUAUGUCGAAGUGAGAUUUGAAUGAUUUUCAGUGAGAUUUGUAAUGAUUUUGAGUGAGAUUGGAAUGAUUUUCAGUGAGAUUUGAAUUGAAAUAGCUAUGUGUAGUUGAGAUGUGCAAAAAAUGUGAAACUGGGAUUUCGAUGUGUUGUUGCAAGUUGCAAAACUAAUUUCUGUGAAAAUAUAUGGAAUUAUAUCUCUGAAAUAUAUGAAACAGCUAUUUCUCUUAUCUGUCAUUUGUUAUUUCAGUGAUAUAUGUAUUGAGAAAUUACUUCCCUGGAAUAUAUUUCAAUGCGGUGUUGCAAGUUGUGAAACUAAUUUCUGCGAAAAUAUAUGAAAU
rnacentral:lncRNA from 1 species